CUGGAAUCUGUAUGAUCCACGCGAUCAAGCAGUAUGAUGGGGACAAAAUGAAGUGGCCACUUACCAAGGUUAUUCCUUCUGAACAUCCAGUAUACUUGCUGCAUUUGAUCUAUGUUGCUGCUGGAAAGGACGUGAUCCUGUAGAAAUCAUAUAUAGAUGGAGAUCAAGCACAAGUCAACCAUUAUUGCUAAUGUUUCCAAGCAUAACGAGUUCCUUCUGGAUACAACUUGUUUUCUUUCAUGUGAAGAACUCGGACUGAUAUGGACAUGCCAUCACCCUUGAGGCCUCGUCCCGCA